rnacentral:rRNA from 1 species
GUAGGGCGGGACACGUGGUAUCCUGUCUGAAUAUGGGGGGACCAUCCUCCAAGGCUAAAUACUCCUGACUGACCGAUAGUGAACCAGUACCGUGAGGGAAAGGCGAAAAGAACCCCGGCGAGGGGAGUGAAAAAGAACCUGAAACCGUGUACGUACAAGCAGUGGGAGCCUCUUUAUGGGGUGACUGCGUACCUUUUGUAUAAUGGGUCAGCGACUUAUAUUCUGUAGCAAGGUUAACCGAAUAGGGGAGCCGAAGGGAAACCGAGUCUUAACUGGGCGUUAAGUUGCAGGGUAUAGACCCGAAACCCGGUGAUCUAGCCAUGGGCAGGUUGAAGGUUGGGUAACACUAACUGGAGGACCGAACCGACUAAUGUUGAAAAAUUAGCGGAUGACUUGUGGCUGGGGGUGAAAGGCCAAUCAAACCGGGAGAUAGCUGGUUCUCCCCGAAAGCUAUUUAGGUAGCGCCUCGUGAAUUCAUCUCCGGGGGUAGAGCACUGUUUCGGCAAGGGGGUCAUCCCGACUUACCAACCCGAUGCAAACUGCGAAUACCGGAGAAUGUUAUCACGGGAGACACACGGCGGGUGCUAACGUCCGUCGUGAAGAGGGAAACAACCCAGACCGCCAGCUAAGGUCCCAAAGUCAUGGUUAAGUGGGAAACGAUGUGGGAAGGCCCAGACAGCCAGGAUGUUGGCUUAGAAGCAGCCAUCAUUUAAAGAAAGCGUAAUAGCUCACUGGUCGAGUCGGCCUGCGCGGAAGAUGUAACGGGGCUAAACCAUGCACCGAAGCUGCGGCAGCGACACUAUGUGUUGUUGGGUAGGGGAGCGUUCUGUAAGCCUGUGAAGGUGGCCUGUGAGGGUUGCUGGAGGUAUCAGAAGUGCGAAUGCUGACAUAAGUAACGAUAAAGCGGGUGAAAAGCCCGCUCGCCGGAAGACCAAGGGUUCCUGUCCAACGUUAAUCGGGGCAGGGUGAGUCGACCCCUAAGGCGAGGCCGAAAGGCGUAGUCGAUGGGAAACAGGUUAAUAUUCCUGUACUUGGUGUUACUGCGAAGGGGGGACGGAGAAGGCUAUGUUGGCCGGGCGACGGUUGUCCCGGUUUAAGCGUGUAGGCUGGUUUUCCAGGCAAAUCCGGAAAACCAAGGCUGAGGCGUGAUGACGAGGCACUACGGUGCUGAAGCGACAAAUGCCCUGCUUCCAGGAAAAGCCUCUAAGCAUCAGGUAACAUCAAAUCGUACCCCAAACCGACACAGGUGGUCAGGUAGAGAAUACCAAGGCGCUUGAGAGAACUCGGGUGAAGGAACUAGGCAAAAUGGUGCCGUAACUUCGGGAGAAGGCACGCUGAUAUGUAGGUGAAGCGACUUGCUCGUGGAGCUGAAAUCAGUCGAAGAUACCAGCUGGCUGCAACUGUUUAUUAAAAACACAGCACUGUGCAAACACGAAAGUGGACGUAUACGGUGUGACGCCUGCCCGGUGCCGGAAGGUUAAUUGAUGGGGUUAGCGGUAACGCGAAGCUCUUGAUCGAAGCCCCGGUAAACGGCGGCCGUAACUAUAACGGUCCUAAGGUAGCGAAAUUCCUUGUCGGGUAAGUUCCGACCUGCACGAAUGGCGUAAUGAUGGCCAGGCUGUCUCCACCCGAGACUCAGUGAAAUUGAACUCGCUGUGAAGAUGCAGUGUACCCGCGGCAAGACGGAAAGACCCCGUGAACCUUUACUAUAGCUUGACACUGAACAUUGAGCCUUGAUGUGUAGGAUAGGUGGGAGGCUUUGAAGUGUGGACGCCAGUCUGCAUGGAGCCGACCUUGAAAUACCACCCUUUAAUGUUUGAUGUUCUAACGUUGGCCCGUAAUCCGGGUUGCGGACAGUGUCUGGUGGGUAGUUUGACUGGGGCGGUCUCCUCCUAAAGAGUAACGGAGGAGCACGAAGGUUGGCUAAUCCUGGUCGGACAUCAGGAGGUUAGUGCAAUGGCAUAAGCCAGCUUGACUGCGAGCGUGACGGCGCGAGCAGGUGCGAAAGCAGGUCAUAGUGAUCCGGUGGUUCUGAAUGGAAGGGCCAUCGCUCAACGGAUAAAAGGUACUCCGGGGAUAACAGGCUGAUACCGCCCAAGAGUUCAUAUCGACGGCGGUGUUUGGCACCUCGAUGUCGGCUCAUCACAUCCUGGGGCUGAAGUAGGUCCCAAGGGUAUGGCUGUUCGCCAUUUAAAGUGGUACGCGAGCUGGGUUUAGAACGUCGUGAGACAGUUCGGUCCCUAUCUGCCGUGGGCGCUGGAGAACUGAGGGGGGCUGCUCCUAGUACGAGAGGACCGGAGUGGACGCAUCACUGGUGUUCGGGUUGUCAUGCCAAUGGCACUGCCCGGUAGCUAAAUGCGGAAGAGAUAAGUGCUGAAAGCAUCUAAGCACGAAACUUGCCCCGAGAUGAGUUCUCCCUGACUCCUUGAGAGUCCUGAAGGAA